rnacentral:misc_RNA from 1 species
UACGAAGGAUCCAAGCGUUUUCCGGAAUCAUUGGGCUUAAAGGGUCCGUAGGCGGGAUAAUAAGUCAGGGGUGAAAGUCUGCAGCUCAACCGUAGAAUUGCCAUUGAUACUGUUGUUCUUGAGUGUGUAUGAGGUGGUUAGAAUAUGUAGUGUAGCGGUGAAAUGCAUAGAUAUUACAUAGAAUACCGAUUGCGAAGGCAGAUCACUAAUACAAUACUGACGCUGAUGGACGAAAGCGUAGGUAGCGAACAGG